AUGCACGCUGGCGGCGUGCCUCAUCCCUGCCAGUCGAGCGAACGGACGAGAAGCUUGCUUCUCUGAUGUUAGCGGCGGACGGGUGAGUAACACGUGGAUAACCUACCUAUAAGACUGGGAUAACUUCGGGAAACCGGAGCUAAUACCGGAUGAUAUUUUGAACCGCAUGGUUCAAAAGUGAAAGACGGUCUUGCUGUCACUUAUAGAUGGAUCCGCGCUGCAUUAGCUAGUUGGUAAGGUAACGGCUUACCAAGGCAACGAUGCAUAGCCGACCUGAGAGGGUGAUCGGCCACACUGGAACUGAGACACGGUCCAGACUCCUACGGGAGGCAGCAGUAGGGAAUCUUCCGCAAUGGGCGAAAGCCUGACGGAGCAACGCUGCGUGAGUGAUGAAGGUCUUCGGAUCGUAAAACUCUGUUAUUAGGGAAGAACAUAUGUGUAAGUAACUGUGCACAUCUUGACGGUACCUAAUCAGAAAGCCACGGCUAACUACGUG
rnacentral:rRNA from 1 species